rfam:Polaromonas naphthalenivorans CJ2, complete genome.
GCAACCUCAAGCUGGCCAAGACGAAUCUGGUCGUGUUCCGCUCGAUGCUGGGCAUCAGCUGGAUGUGGUUUUUCGGUGCGGUGUUCUUGAGCCAGUUUCCGAGCUUUGCCAAGGAAGUGAUG